AUUGAACGCUGGCGGCAGGCCUAACACAUGCAAGUCGAACGGUAGCACAGAGAGCUUGCUCUCGGGUGACGAGUGGCGGACGGGUGAGUAAUGUCUGGGAAACUGCCCGAUGGAGGGGGAUAACUACUGGAAACGGUAGCUAAUACCGCAUAACGUCGCAAGACCAAAGUGGGGGACCUUCGGGCCUCACACCAUCGGAUGUGCCCAGAUGGGAUUAGCUAGUAGGUGGGGUAACGGCUCACCUAGGCGACGAUCCCUAGCUGGUCUGAGAGGAUGACCAGCCAAACUGGAACUGAGACACGGUCCAGACUCCUACGGGAGGCAGCAGUGGGGAAUAUUGCACAAUGGGCGCAAGCCUGAUGCAGCCAUGCCGCGUGUAUGAAGAAGGCCUUCGGGUUGUAAAGUACUUUCAGCGAGGAGGAAAGCAUUAAGGUUAAUAACCUUAGUGAUUGACGUUACUCGCAGAAGAAGCACCGGCUAACUCCGUGCCAGCAGCCGCGGUAA
rnacentral:rRNA from 1 species